CCUACGGGAGGCAGCAGUAAGGAAUAUUGGUCAAUGGAGGCAACUCUGAACCAGCCAUGCCGCGUGCAGGAAGACUGCCCUAUGGGUUGUAAACUGCUUUUAUCCGGGAAUAAACCUGCUUACGUGUAAGUAGCUGAAUGUACCGGAAGAAUAAGGAUCGGCUAACUCCGUGCCAGCAGCCGCGGUAAUACGGAGGAUCCAAGCGUUAUCCGGAUUUAUUGGGUUUAAAGGGUGCGUAGGCGGCCUGUUAAGUCAGGGGUGAAAGACGGUAGCUCAACUAUCGCAGUGCCCUUGAUACUGAUGGGCUUGAAUGGACUAGAGGUAGGCGGAAUGAGACAAGUAGCGGUGAAAUGCAUAGAUAUGUCUCAGAACACCGAUUGCGAAGGCAGCUUACUAUGGUCUUAUUGACGCUGAGGCACGAAAGCGUGGGGAUCAAACAGGAUUAGAUACCCUGGUAGUCCACGCCCUAAACGAUGAACACUCGCUGUUGGCGAUACACAGUCAGCGGCUAAGCGAAAGCGUUAAGUGUUCCACCUGGGGAGUACGCCCGCAAGGUGAAACUCAAAUGAAAUUGACGGCGUGAGACGAGCGACGGACGACGACGAGGGGAGGUAGG
rnacentral:rRNA from 1 species